CCUACGGGAGGCAGCAGUGGUGAAUAUUGCACAAUGGGGGAAACCCUGAUGCAGCGACGCCGCGUGAGUGAAGAAGUAUUUCGGUAUGUAAAGCUCUAUCAGCAGGGAAGAAAUACAGUCCUUCGGACUUUGGACGUUACCUGACUAAGAAGCCCCGGCUAACUACGUGCCAGCAGCCGCGGUAAUACGUAGGGGGCAAUCGUUAUCCGGAUUUCCUGGGUGGAAAGGGAGCGGAGCCGGCAGCGCAAGUCUGGAGUGAAAUCCCAUGGCUUAACCAUGGAACUGCUUUGGAAACUGUGCAGCUGGAGUGCAGGAGAGGUAAGCGGAAUUCCUAGUGUAGCGGUGAAAUGCGUAGAUAUUAGGAGGAACACCAGUGGCGAAGGCGGCUUACUGGACUGUAACUGACGUUGAGGCUCGAAAGCGUGGGGAGCAAACAGGAUUAGAUACCCGGGUAGUC
rnacentral:rRNA from 1 species